CACCGACUGGCCCAUGGAGUCUUGCUUGAACGGCGGUCCUUUGCCGCUUUCACUUUUCCUUCGCUUGUCUCCAGCAGGUGCACUCUCUCUCUGAUGAGGCAAUGACGUCUGGAGUAGAUACAUAUACAUGUUUUAUUUUCAUCCAUAGUCAGCUGUGAACACCCCAGUGCGUGGUAUCCUCAGGGCCCAGUACACCCCGAUUCUGUGGGGAGGCUGAGCAGAGCCUCUCCCUCUUACCCCUGCCAGCGCCGCUCCACUUCUGGUGAUGACAAGGUCAAGCACCCGCGACGUGGGGAGGUCAGAGCGAUACAUUGCUGCGGAUGUCGGCGGGCAGGCCCUGAAUGAUGUUGCGUCGGAGCGACCUGCAACAGUGAACACGCUUGUGCCAUCCACAUGAUGGACAACGUGUUUGCGUGACUCGAGCGUGUAUCUCACCCCGGCCCUCACACUGCCAACUGGUGGGGGAGCCUGCGCCCCCCUCCCCCCCUCCCCCAAGGGGGCGGCACCACGCGAUGAGGGCUUUGUGACAGGGGGCCAGCUGUGUGUGUGUGUGCAGAGUGUGACUGAUCUUGUAUGGCAGGAGAAGGGGAGGGGAGGGGGCACACGUUAGACACAAGCGACAACAGAAGCAGCAGCAGCAGGAGGAGCUGCGCUCGUUUUUUUUUUUCGCCUUCUCUUGCUUGUCAAUAUCUUGUGCCUUGAUGGAGAGUGUGGAGGCGUCUUUGCGCGUUCCGCACCGUUUCUUCUUCGAAUCAGCCUUCGACGGUGCACUUGGACUUUUUGUAUGGGUGAGGUCGAGUGAUGAAGCGGCGGGGCGAGAAGCGGUGGCUCACGCGAGUGCCGAAGCAUGCUCCCCCUCUCCGCCCCCGCUGCACACGGCGAUCGCCGUCUGCGUAGAAGGUGGGGAGGAGCAAUGGAGGAGGCGCAUCACGGCUGUUUUGAAAGUUUCUCCCUUUUACGUUGUGCACGUGUGCUCAUUUGGUCGCCUUCGUGGUGGUGUUUUGUUUCAAUUUUCUUUUUUUUUUCGUUCUUGCUUCCCGCGCGUACGUGUUGGUAGUCUUGCGCGCGCGUGCGUCUCUGUGUUUUCUUAGCGGCUUCCCUCUUGCCAUCCCCCUGAUCCGUAUAUAUGUGCGUGAGUGGGGAGGGGGAGAGAGGCGCGGGGGAGAGGGAGGGGGCGGGGGCGGGAGUGUGUAGCCGUGCGUCUGUUUGUGCGUGCGCCCUUCGGUAUCUUCUUUGUGUUUUGUUGUCUAUCUGAAGCUGUGGCGCCUUUUUUAUGGUUCUUCUUUACUGUAUUUCCUCCUUCCUCCGUCCGUGAGGGCCCUCUGCGUUGGGCCUGUGACCUCUCGAGUGCUCUCCCUGUCUUUCUCCCUGCAUCUGCUUCUUGUUAUUGUUCGCCUUGCACAGUCGCCGCCACAUCAAGAAAAGUGUGCGAGAGAGAGGAAAGCAAGGGCACGGAAAGAAAAAAAAGAAAGGAAGAGAAUACCAAAAGCGCCAAGUGAGCGAUUGCAUGAAGGUGCGUAGGCGGGUGGGGACGCGACACCAACAGUGAUGCUUUUUUUCGUGAUGGAGAAGUUGUGCAGUGAACCCGAAAAAACAAAAGAAGGUCGUUUUCUUUUCGUUCUCCCCUUGUGUUCCAUCACACUGGUGCCUCCGCGUUAGCUGACCCUCUCCCUUCCUUUCCUCCUAAGGCCGAUCGAGCCCACCGAGGCUGACUAUGUCAAGUGGGUGUAUGUGUGCAUACCUGCGCUGAAGCUUCCGUUAUGGUGCUCUUGCUGAUUAGAACGGUGCCAGCGAUGAAGAG
rnacentral:misc_RNA from 1 species